GGGGAUGUAGCUCAGUUGGUAGAGCGCGUCAUUAGCAUUCAUCUGCUAACACUUGGACGUUGACCUCCUUAGUCUCAACUCUCGGCCAAGUUAGGAAUCGUUCCUGAGACUUAGUUACAGAGGUCUUUGGUUCGAUUCCUACCUUCUCCA